UACAGAGGUCUCAAGCGUUGUUCGGAUUCAUUGGGCGUAAAGGGUGCGUAGGCGGCGCGGUAAGUCGGGUGUGAAAUUUCGAGGCUUAACUUCGAAACUGCAUUCGAUACUGCCGUGCUAGAGGACUGGAGAGGAGACUGGAAUUUACGGUGUAGCAGUGAAAUGCGUAGAUAUCGUAAGGAAGACCAGUGGCGAAGGCGAGUCUCUGGACAGUUACUGACACUGAGGCACGAAGGCCAGGGGAGCAAACCGGGG
rnacentral:rRNA from 1 species